UCAUCUGCUCUUCGACGGGAACCCUUUUGGUCCGAGCAUCAAGCGCUGGCUAAAACGGCCUCUCCAACGCGAUCUCCGGAAUGGUUCCCUCUGAUAGAUCAAUGGCGGUGAUAUCAUCGCUUCCAAAUGGCGGGAAUCGAAGAGACGAAGCGGUCGCCGGAUCAACUGUCUCUAAGUUUGACCCGAACUGGUCAAAACCUCGAUGCGGCUCAGAAUGAGGAGACAAGACGAGAUCUUUCUCAGUAAUAACCUCAACGACAACCUCCUCCACCUCUUUCUUGAACUUUAUCUCAUUAGCAGUCAAGAGGUCUUUCAGUUUUUUCGGAACCUGCAUACCCCACUUCUCCAACGUAUCCAUCGACUGCAAAGUCCCAGAAGCUUGGCUGUGGAGGAAAAGUUUAUCUUCCAGUUUGUCUCGGUCGGUUCCGAAACUUCUCAAAACGUCUAGCUGCCGCGGACCUGACACGACCCCUCUCGGAUAUAACUUCUCGAAUAUGCGACUACUGCAUACGAUCCAUCUCUUUUUUCGUCUUCUCGGCCUCCUCAA
rnacentral:lncRNA from 1 species